rnacentral:rRNA from 1 species
UACGUAGGGGGCAAGCGUUGUCCGGAAUUAUUGGGCGUAAAGCGCGCGCAGGCGGUCAUGUAAGUCUGGUGUUUAAUCCCGGGGCUCAACCCCGGAUCGCACUGGAAACUGCGUGACUUGAGUGCAGAAGAGGAGAGUGGAAUUCCACGUGUAGCGGUGAAAUGCGUAGAGAUGUGGAGGAACACCAGUGGCGAAGGCGAGUCCCUGGACAACUCCUGACACUGAGGCACGAAAGCUAGGGGAGCAAACAGG